CUCUCUGGCUCUUCCUUUCUUGCAUCAUCACAGACACACACUCCUCUCUAUUUUAGUCACUUGGGUCCCCCUCCCCCACUGCUGAGAACUGUGGGUUCUGUGUAAAAUUUGAUUUUUCUUUUUCUAUUUCAAAAUCUUAUUGUGGACUGAUUCAAAAUUUGGUGGGUCUACUGCUUUUUCCCUAAAAGAAAAAUGUAUUAAACCAGGAGCUUAUGAGAAUUGGGUUGCAUGUUUGUUUCUUUGUCCUGUUUCGCCUUUUUCCUACUCUCGACAUUUUCUAAGUUUAGUCUACUUCUGCCAUGUAUAACUUAUCUCAAGAUAUUUUUCUUCUCACUUUGGUUUUAUCUGGUUUGUUUCUUCCAUUUGCAUGCUUGCCUUUUUUAUCAGACAUUUUAUUUUCUUCUUUAAUUCUCCUCUUUUGGUCUGAUAGCUGGAUCGAAUGGAAAUACCUGCAACCUUGUCUGGUUUUAUUUUUAUUAUUCUAACGAAGAAGAAGAAGAAGAAGAAGAAGAAGAAAAAGAAGAAGAUUUGGAACGACUCUGAGUUGAAGUUUCUAAUCCGUGACCGUGAAUGACCUCUGCACUUCGAGGUCAUCAGUCUGAGGAGCAUCAAAACGCUUCUUCUAUUAAUAAUGUUAAUGUUGUCAUGGCCUUAAUUGUUUCUGAUUUGAUUGUUCGGAUAUUUACCGCUGAGCUCGCAUCAGCUGCGACCAUCAUCGCAGUAAAUCCUUGCGACCGUCCAAUGAAACAUGGACACGCUCAGUAGCGACCUAAACCCAAACCAGAUCACCCGAAACGAUGCUGAUUGCUAUCCAAGCAUGAUGCAUAUAAAUUUGGUUGGUGCACAUGUAAAAGUGGAGGGUCGUCUAGGGAUCUUUGCCACGUGGACGGAUGACGUGGCAAGUCACGUAUUCCCAUGGCCGUACAAUAGGACACGGCAGUCAAGAACCAGACAAGCCAUCCGUUAAUGGCGUUGGUGAUAUGACACCUUAUGUGGUGGAGCAGGCUGGUUGUCAACUAUGUUGCAUGGCAUCUAUUACUACGUUUUGUAUUUCCAACCCAAAUCUUUCUGGAGUGUUUCCAGGCGGAAAACAUGACAUUGUUUCAUUUGUUUGUGCCCUUCUCUGUCUGUUGGUGCAUUAAUGGAUUUCAGAAGACUUAAGCUUAA